AAAACUCAACAUCUAACCUGAGGAAACAUGUUGCGAGGGUUCACUCCAACAAAUUGAGGAUGUAUACGGAAUUAAUGGACAGCCACAGAAAACGAAAGUCAUCCUCUUCUACCGAGCCACCUAUGAAGAACGCAAAACUUACAGACUCUUUCACAGGCUCUAGGUGAAUAACACAA